rnacentral:rRNA from 1 species
GAUGAACGCUAGCGGCAAGCUUAAUACAUGCAAGUCGAGGGGCAGCAUGACUGUAGCAAUACAGUUGAUGGCGACCGGCAAACGGGUGCGGAACACGUACAGAACCUUCCUUCGAGCGGGGAAUAGCCCAGAGAAAUUUGGAUUAAUACCCCAUAGUAUUACGGAGUGGCAUCACUUUGUAAUUAAAGAUUUAUCACUUGAAGAUGGCUGUGCGGCUGAUUAGAUGGUUGGCAGGGUAACGUCCUACCAAGUCUACGAUCAGUAACUGGUGUGAGAGCACGACCAGUCACACGGGCACUGAGACACGGGCCCGACUCCUACGGGAGGCAGCAGUAAGGAAUAUUGGUCAAUGGACGAAAGUCUGAACCAGCUAUGCCGCGUGGAGGAUGAAGGCCCUCUGGGUUGUAAACUUCUUUUAUAUGGGACGAAAAAGGGCCUUUCUAGGUCAACUGACGGUACCAUGUGAAUAAGCACCGGCUAACUCCGUGCCAGCCGCCGCGGUAACAC